UCCCAUAUGGUCUAUUGGCUAGGAUAACUGGCUUUCACCCAGUAGGCCCGGGGUUCGAUUUCCGGUAUGGGAA
rfam:Anopheles melas strain CM1001059_A cont2.9856, whole genome shotgun sequence.